rnacentral:rRNA from 1 species
AUAUUGCACAAUGGGGGAAACCCUGAUGCAGCGACGCCGCGUGGAGGAAGAAGGUUUUCGGAUUGUAAACUCCUGUCGUUAGGGACGAUAAUGACGGUACCUAACAAGAAAGCACCGGCUAACUACGUGCCAGCAGCCGCGGUAAAACGUAGGGUGCAAGCGUUGUCCGGAAUUACUGGGUGUAAAGGGAGCGCAGGCGGACCGGCAAGUUGGAAGUGAAAACUAUGGGCUCAACCCAUAAAUUGCUUUCAAAACUGCUGGCCUUGAGUAGUGCAGAGGUAGGUGGAAUUCCCGGUGUAGCGGUGGAAUGCGUAGAUAUCGGGAGGAACACCAGUGGCGAAGGCGGCCUACUGGGCACCAACUGACGCUGAGGCUCGAAAGUGUGGGUAGCAAACAGGAUUAGAUACCCUGGUAGUCCACACCGUAAACGAUGAUUACUAGGUGUUGGAGGAUUGACCCCUUCAGUGCCGCAGUUAACACAAUAAGUAAUCCACCUGGGGAGUACGACCGCAAGGUUGAAACUCAAAGGAAUUGACGGGGGCCCGCACAAGCAGUGGAGUAUGUGGUUUAAUUCGACGCAACGCGAAGAACCUUACCAAGUCUUGACAUCCCUUGACGAUGCUGGAAACAGCAUUUCUCUUCGGAGCAAGGAGACAGGUGGUGCAUGGUUGUCGUCAGCUCGUGUCGUGAGAUGUUGGGUUAAGUCCCGCAACGAGCGCAACCCUUAUUGCCAGUUACUACGCAAGAGGACUCUGGCGAGACUGCCGUUGACAAAACGGAGGAAGGUGGGGAUGACGUCAAAUCAUCAUGCCCUUUAUGACUUGGGCUACACACGUACUACAAUGGCGUUAAACAAAGAGAAGCAAGACCGCGAGGUGGAGCAAAACUCAGAAACAACGUCCCAGUUCGGACUGCAGGCUGCAACUCGCCUGCACGAAGUCGGAAUUGCUAGUAAUCGUGGAUCAGCAUGCCACGGUGAAUACGUUCCCGGGCCUUGUACACACCGCCCGUCACACCAUGAGAGCCGG